rnacentral:rRNA from 1 species
UAAAAUUAAAAAUUUUGGCGGUAUAUUAGUCUAUUUAGAGGAACCUGUUUUGUAACUGAUAAUCCACGAUUAAUUAAACUUAUUUAAGAAGUUUGUAUAUCGUCGUAGUUUGAAUAUUUUAAAAGAAUUAAAUAUUCAUUUUUUUAUAUAAAAAAUUAAAUCAGAUCGAGAUGCAGUUUAUAAAUAAGUAAAAAUGGGUUACAAUAGAUAAAUCUAUGGAAUAAUUCAUGAAAUUUUAUUAUGAAAAUGGAUUUAAUUGUAAAUUUGUAUAGUUUUAUAAAUUGAUUUUAGCUCUAAUAUAUGUACAUAUUGCCCGUCGCUUUUGUUUUAAAAUGAAAUAAGUCGUAACAAAGUAGACUAACUGGAAAGUGAGUCUAGAAGA